UGAUUGCUGGGCGAUCUGGUGCAACAUCUGUCACCCCAUUGAUCGCCAGGGUUGAUUCGGUUGAUCUGGCUGGCUAGGCGGGUGUCCCCUUCCUUCCUCACUGCUCCAUGUGCGUCCCUCCCGAAGCUGCGCGCUCGGUCGAAGAGGACGACCUUCCCGGAAUACAGGAGGACCAGUCUUCGGUCAAGGGUAUACGAGUAGCUGAGCUCCCCUGCUAGAACCUCCAAACAAGCUCUCAANNUCAGAUUAUUUAAGAUGAAUUCUGAACCAAAAAGAUUUAGUCUUUCAGUUUCUAAGGAUAAAAGUGUGGUAUAGCAAACU
ensembl:misc_RNA Gm23973 predicted gene, 23973